ACUUGGACCCCGCGGCCGGUGCCAAGACCGUGCCAAAGCGGAAUGCCAGCCGUGUGCAGUCGCUCUUUCCCGCCCGAUCGUUGAGCUGACCGCACGCGCAUACGAAAUCUCCAGUCAUGCCGCCCAAAUUCGAUCCAAAUGAAAUCAAGAUUGUAAAGCUAAGGGCCAUCGGAGGCGAAGUGGGUGCCACUUCUUCCCUGGCCCCUAAGGUGGGCCCCUUGGUCUCUCCCCAAGAAGGUCGGCGAAGACAUCUGCAAGGCCACAAGUGCCUGGAAGGGCCUUAAGAUCACAGUUCAGGUU